rnacentral:lncRNA from 1 species
GUUCAGGCUUAGGCGGUGGUGGAUCGGGAGCGGGCGCUGGAGGCGGUUCAGGUGCUGGCGCUGGCGGUUCGGGGGCGGGCGGCGGCGGGGCCGGUUCAGGUGGAGGCGGUGCCGGUUCUGGUGGGGGAGGAGCCGGUUCGGGUGGAGGAGGGGCCGGUUCAGGUGGCGGAGGAGGAGGAGGAGGUGGUGGUGGCGGGUCGUCCGGCUUGAUCUGGAUGUCUUUGAUCACCUUGCAGGCCAGGCAGCAGAGCUUCUUGAUAAGGCAGUCAGGAUUGAAGGGGCCGGAGACUAUGACAGUGUUCUUCUUCUCAUCGUAGACGAUAGACUGGAUCUUGAAUCGCUCUCAAGUAGAUGAAUUCCACGCAAGACACAAGGACGCCAUAAGUACGACCGUGAGCUGGAUAGAAGCAUGACAGUGGUGGAGAGAGAAAUCGAGAGGCAUGCAUGUUUAUGCUUAUGCUUACUUUGGAGCUUGCACAGAGCCUUCUUAAUCUUCUUGGAGCAAAGGCAGCAGUCCAGAUCGACCUUUAUGAUUACUGUGGAGAUCUACGAUGAUAAACAACGGCAAUAAAAGUGCUGCUAGGUGAGAUACAUAUCUCGAGUUCAACAAGGAAGACAACAUGGACGGGUAUAAUUCUAGUGACAGCGAAAUUGCGAUUCGGAAUUUGAAUCAGCAGAACUCGAUUUGUGAUGGGACAAACAAGUGAUGGUCUACCAAGCAUGUCGAUGAUCCAACAUGCAAAGAACAAAUAAUUUAUGGAACCAACAAGUUAACAAAAAGCUGAACCGGUGCCAAAAAGUUCGUCCUUCAAACCAAUUUCAGCGAACAAAAUGCAAACCAAAGGAAAGAUACAUCUAAAUAACUCGCGAAACAAAAAUGCAGCACGGAGUCGAUCCCGAAAGAAUCACAUCUUUUUUCCCGACACGCAGAAUUUACGUUGGAUACAAAAGAGCAAAUGUAAUUUAGCAGAGUAUACAUGUCGAGGCAUCAGAAGGGAGGGAGGGAGGAGGAGGAGGGAAUAAUCGAUGUACCUUCUCUGCCAUGGCUUAUGUUGAGAUUCCAACCAAGGGUAGAGGAGGAGGAGGAGGAGGAGGAUGGGAGAAGUCUCUCUCUCUCUCUCUCUUUCUUUCUCUUUAUAGAUGUAGCUGAUAACCCAAAGUGCACUAAGGUCAUAAGCCACCCGGACAGGAACACGUAUCAAGACGAGAAACUUUUCGACGUACAGUCACCGACUCCUCCCUGGCUUCAUGGGUGUAUUUGAAGCAUGGCUCAUGCAACUAUUACCUUCGCUUUGGCUGCUCGUGUUUGAUUCGGUAGCCUCCUCUGCAUAAUUCCAGUCAAAAUGUAAAAUCUCGAUAGAAAGCUUGGUAUGUAAAAUGAGAUACUUGAGAAUAUGGCACCAAAAUCUAAAACUGCAGGAUUAACAUGUUUCAUGGGAUCACUUGCCUUGUACCAUUUCAGCAGCCAUUGGUUGGCAAUCAGCAGUAGGCCUAUCAUUUCUCCUUGAGGUUAUGGUACAAACCCAUAGCAGAAAAGCUCUAAUGAUCGGUGUAGACCAUUCAUUCUGUCGGCGAGCCUUACCAUGCAAACAAACUGCACACACCUUCUAUAUGAGAGGAGGGCUUCAGCUUCGAUCGAGAUGUCUCUUUUUUGUUUGGGCACCAAAGUCAACGCAUAAACCUUGUAUGGUGGAUAUGGAAAUCACCUGAAUGGUUGACUGACUGCAUCCCGAGGCAGCUUCUAAACUUCAUCACAAGAAAAGUGGGGAACCACCUUCCUUCCGCUAGCUCGAGAGAUAUCAUCAGCUCAUAGAUUUCCGGUCUCGAAAGUCCUCACCAAAAACCCACACGAUCAUAAAAUUCAGUAAAACUGUUGCUGUCUUUCUAAAAGAUACUAAGGAUGAUCGAUGACAUAAAGCCUCCAAUUUGGCAUACUUUUCACUGGCUUUCGGUGUUGCACAGAACUAAAUUUAACUUGCUUUCGCCUCGAUGAGACGUCGAUCGUUGCAAACCAAUAUACCAAAGGACAAGAAAGGGGAAAGGCCUGUGCUGAAUGACUCAUCAAGCAACAACAAAAAUCAUGCCUCUACAAACACAAAAUUGUAGGCGUCACUUUCUAGCUAAGCUUUCCGAGCACAACAUCUUGUUCCUUUACACACCAAUGAUAGUGAUCUGAGAGCAGCAAAGACGCUUUUAUGUGAAUCAAGAAGAAGACUCCUUGAAUGUACAUAAACGAAAACCAAAAAUUAUUGAGAACAUUGAAUAUCUCCGAGGGAUCUUCUAUCGAAGAGGUUAGACUUUCACCAUCGGAUCGGAAGAUAGAUUCAUUUGAAGCAAAGAUUUAUCUCUCUCGAUAACACUAGAACAUUAGUACAGUUUAAAUUUUUAGUAAGACAAUCAACAAACAUAAAUGACUUUAUGGUUUUACUAUUAACCAUUAUGCAUGACGAUGAUAUUGUUCCAAAAUGGAACUCAUCGAAAAUAUAAACAGAAAUGUAUUGUUAAUCCUUACGAGUCAAGCUGAAAACCAUCAGCAUUGCCAACGUUAUUAUGUCUCGACAAACCCAUCGGAACACCUUUAACUAUGUGACCUACAAUCUGUCUAACCUUUGUGUCCGUCCAUGAUUUGGCAAUGAUAUGGAAACCACACUUCCUCGGUUUGCUACUCAUCGAGGCGACAGGAAUCAACUGAAUCAUGCCAGUUUAAUUUGAGACAUGGAAGAAGAGACCUCCUGGGCUGGGAAUACGUGCCUCUUUCGUCUCAGUGGGUGUUUUCGAUUCUCUAUGUCCACGGAGCUGGAUCGAUUACAUCUCGUGAUGAAUGGUGACACACACACACACACUUUGUUGCUCACUCAACAUGUAUAACAGGCACUGCUGCAUCCGCAAAUAAGACUUGUGAGAUGAGGUUAGUAUUUCGGUGGUUGAAUUUUCUAAUUUGAUUGAUGAUUUUGCUUCUCACUGUAUCAUUACAUCUUUUACAAAGAAAUGCGUCAUUGUUUUGCUUCACAUUUCUCCUUGUAGGUGAUCGAAGAUGUCUAUAGAAAAAUUUUCCCAAGAUAUAAGACUCAAUGUGGUUCGACAAAUCUUAUUUAUGUCCAUAGAGAAGAAUUAAAUUCUUCAUCGUAUGAGAUUAAUUACAUGACCUUGAACUAUCCUCAUUUAAGCAUAUAAAUUUUGAAGAAUUUAUAUUAUUUUCUCUCGUUCUACGGAGACUACAUAAGAUAUUUAUAAAGGAACUAAACCCUAAUUAUGAAGAUUUUUUAUUUUUUUCACAAGAACUCUUUGUGUUAGGAUUCCUUAUCCUAUUAGGACACGGAAUCUCAAAUACUUGUUAAUCCCUAUAAUCUUUCUUUCAAUGAGUAUUUUAUUUACUUCUAUACAUUUUAAAGAGAAAUACUUUUAUUUCACGCUCCUUUUGUCAUAUAUUCUUGUUGAAUCUCCGAUCACAAUAUCUUUUAAGCUCUUAUAUUAUAUUCCUUAUUGGAGAAUGAGAGGAAAAUUUUAAAAUCAAAAGAAUACUCAAAUAUCAACAAGUUAAAAAGCAUUAUUCGAUGUAAAAUAUAAUGUGGUUUAGUAAAUCUAGCUUAUAUCCAUAAAUAAAAAUUAAAUUCUUUAUCAUAUGAUAUCAAUUACGAGACCUUAAGUUAUCCCUCACUCAAGCAUAACUUUCUCCUUAUAGACUCUCUCAUAUAAAUUACGAAGAAUUUAUUUAUCUUUUCUAGAUAUUAUAAAGAAAAAUUCAAGAGCUCAAUAGUGUUUAGUACAUCUUGUUCUCUUCCAUCAAAACUUAAAGAUACACGAGAUAUUUAUAAAAGAAUCAAAUCAUAAUUACUAGAGUUUUCUUUCUUCACGAGAACUAUUUUCUGUAUUAACAUUCCUUAUCAUAUUAGGAUUAGGAUGUAGCUUGAGGAAUCCCAAAACACUUAUCGAUCUCAAUAUAUUAUUCCGAUUGAUAAUCAUUAAAAAUAAUUUUAGAUUUUUCAUAAGACCAGGGAGGAUAAAGAAAAACCUAAAAUCCCUUAAUAUAACCUACCAUAUGAAACUGCUAGAAAAAAGGACAGUGAUGAUUUCCUUGAAUGAAUCAAACAGAUGCUUUUGAUUCCAAACAUUUGGUGUAUACAAGUAGUAGCGAUGCAUCACUAUUCCUUUAUUUGUGACUCUUCACGUUAAGUAUAAAUGGACUCCUCCAAGAAUGGAAAGUAGAAUCCCAAAUCAACUGGAAACAGUAUGAGAAGGUCUACAUAUCGAGAAGAAGGAGAUGAGAGCUUUUGGUCCUUACGAAAGACGAUUCAAAUUUACUGGAAGAAGUCAGGUACCAUAUUAUAAAUUGCAGUAGAAUGAAGGUCUUUCAGUAAAAGUACAAUGAGAUAUAGACUCAUAGACUCAAAUCAUUGGCACGCUUCAAAUUGGAGACCAAAUGUUAAGUUGUGCUUAAUGCAAAUUAUCCUUAAUAGUCAACAACGGAAAAAGACAGCCUUUAUUUUCUUUAGCUGUUCUGCCAUGGCAUUUACUACUAUUAAAAUAACACAUUGGUAGGAUGAAUAUUAUUAUUAGAUUCCGAUAAGUGGAUCAUGACUAUUAUAUUAUCCCUUAAUUCGAAACAAAAUAUUUCUUGAACCUCGUUAAAUAUGCUUAGUCCUCUGUAACCAUGGCAAUUACAAGUCGACUAUUAUAAAAGAUAAUCCUUGUGUGUGAUAACACUUUUAAUCUCAUCUUCAACCUUUUCUAAGGUAAAAAGUCCAAUCUUUAUUAAUCUCAUAAAUGUAUAAAUUGUUAACUUUACCUAUUAAUUCUUAAAUAAAUCUUUGAGGGGAGAAUAAAAUUCUUGAAGGAAGUCCUUCAGCUGUCCAUGUGGGCCUAAACGUCUAGUGAAAGAAUAUUUUAGUUUUUUCCCCUUCAAAAGUUCCAAUAAUACUCCAUGACAAUAAUAAUUUACUUAGUUGUCAAGAUAGCACUUCUACUAAGAAAAAAUACAUAUCUAUAUAUUGAUUUAAUAUAUAAAGAAUCAAAAAUCCAAUUAACAUUACUAUAACUUUCAAUAACUCUUAAGGAUAUCCUACGAAGUUAAAGUCGAUAAUUAGAAGUACUCUUGAGGUAUCUACUAAGUUUGAACAAAUGCUGGGCUUAGUCAUAUUUGCUAAAAUAAGAGAUACAAUGAUUUAAGAGUAUUUUUCUUGAUUUACAAGAUUAUUAGCAUUUUUAACAAAAUAAACAUUUUGAUUAUAAGGAAUGGAAACAAAUGACAUUUAGAAUAUCUAAUUUUUUAGUAUAAUGAGAUUAAGAUAAUAAUAUAGAAUUAGAAGAUUUUUGAACUUUCAUUCCUAAGAUGAUGUCAACUUUACUAACAUUUUUCAUAUUAAAAUGAUAAAAAUUAAUUUAAUCCAAGAUUAGAUCUAAAUUUGAAGCAAAAACUAAGAAAUUAUUAACAUAAAUAUAGAGAAUUACAUAAUUUAUUCUCUAUCAUUUUAUCAUAUCCAUUAAUGUAAAAUCCAAAAGAUAAAAUUAUAAAAUCAAUUUUUUUUUGCUUGAGUCCGUAUAGAGAUCAAAUCAACUUACAUACCUUUUCUUCUUAUCUUGGCAUGACAAAUCCUUCGGGUUAGUUCAUAUAUAUUAAUUUUUUUAGUUCUCUACGUAAAAAGAUAGUUUUCAUAUCCAUUUGAUGAAUAAAAAAUUUAUGAAUAGAAGCAAAAGCAAGUACGACUCGAGUGAUAGUAAUUCGUGCUACAGACACAUAAAUGUUAAAAUAAUCAAUGUUAGUUUUUUUUAUCAAAAAUAAUGAUCAACAAAACUAGCCUUAUACUUUUUAAUUGUACGAUCUGCCCUAAUCUUUUUCUUAAAAAUUCACUUUUAACUUAAGGUUUUACCCACACGAGAUAAGUCAGUGAGAAUCUAAGUAUGAUUACUAAUUAUGGUUUCCAUAUCAUUGUUUAUCAUCUCUUUGUAGAAAGAAGCAUUCAGAGAGAGAAUAUAACUUCUUGAAAUAAACUUUGAUAUAUCUUCUAUCAUAUAAGAGACAAAAUCAUCAUCAAAAUUUUUUUCAAUCCCAUGCACUCUUGCUUGUUCUAGAUUCAACUUAAAUGUUAGAUUCUAUAAAAGUUGAGAAAGAUGAAGAAUAAUUACUUGACAUAUUAACAUAUAAUCUAGUUUUAAAAGAAAAUAUAUUUUUAAAGAAUGAUGAUCUCGAGAUUUAAGAAAUGGAUAAAGCGACUCUCACCAUCCCACCGUUGGCGAUGGUUUUGAAGGACCGAAAACAUUCACUCGCUUUUCUUACCCUUGCGUUUCAACUGCAAGUAGAACCAUCAAACCAGGCGAAAUCCAUGCGCAGCUAUGCACCAGAUUGGUACAGUACUAUUCAUGUACGCUCUUCGUCACCAGAAAGACUUCAAACUGCUAGAUGUGUGGUCGAUGCAGGCGGAGCAAAUGGGAGACGCAAAGCCUGCUAAGAGAAGUUUGUGACCAGGGAAGAAGAACCAGCCCAGUAAACAUUGUCUCCUCUUGUUUCUUCGUUAAAAGGCCUGCAUUUCAAUUCGAUUCCGGAUGAAGAGCAGUUUACGAGUUUACUAAUGGCUUAGUGAUAUUAUCUCGCUAGUCGCCAUUUAAAUUACUUCUAAAGAAGAAAAGAAAACUCCUUAAUCAACAGUUGAUCUGCCAUUUUUUUUCUCUAUAGAAUAUGUAGCAGAUCCUAACUACUGUAGAUGUCAUUUGGUUUUUUGGCUUACGGAAGCGUGAUUCUAAUGCAGGUAAUGGCGGACCGCAGGUCUUGCCUUUGCCAAUGGCUGGAUUAAGGUGCCAGUGAAGUGAACCGAAGAAGGUGCAUUCGUAGGCAGUGAACGCAAGGAAAACAAAAAGGAAAGCUGCAACUGUUGCUACUCCUUAACAUAUCCUCCAGUUCUUCAGCCUGGGUAUGAAAUGUUUGUAUUCUUGUUCAGUUAAUAUGCAUUUGCGUCGAUCGAUAGCUAGCGAGCUUACUUUCUUCUUUAGUUCAAUAUGUGCCCAGUCAUCGUUUAAGUCUUCAGUCAUCUGGAUUGAGCUUCAAAAGCUCAACGCAUCUUAGCUUCUAUACGUGCUGCCCUGGUCAGUCAAUCCAAUGGGCUGCUGGUUCACAAGCAUCGGACUUCGUCGGUGUUGGAACCCCGAGACUGUCACAUGGCGUCGCCGCAUCCCCUGCUGCCAAUUCACGGCCACUUACGACCACGACAACGACGUCGCCUUUCUCUCUCUAUACGGUCAGUGAGACAACGAAGAAUAAAGGACUAAACAGGAUCCGGAGAUCCGAGAGACGGCAGGGAUAUGGUGCUGAUAUGAAUCUGCUGCGUGAGAGACAUAUGUAUGCAUACAUGAGGAGAUAUAUACGGGGGAGAGGAGGCGAGGUCAAGCUUCAUUGGCUGGAGACUUAAUGUGAUGUUGCACCUGGGCGACAGUGACGGCUGGUACGCAGUACAAAUCACCUUCUUCCUUGCUACCCUCCCUGCCCAGCUACGUAAUGCUCCCCGGCCCCCCGCAGUCCUACUCCGACCGGUCGUUCCCCACGUACCAUGACUGACUUCUACGACGUAUGUUACUGAAGAAAACACUCUGACCAACCUCUCUGAUCGCGUUUAAGUAUCGGACCAUGCACAUACAUGGGGCCACGCUGCGACAGCAUUACACGCGGCGAGAGAGAGAGAGAGAGAGAGAGAGAGAGGAGACUACGCGCAAUCGGGCGUCCAUUAAAUACAGUAGAUUAAUUCCCUGUGCGGUCACUUACCGGACCACCAGCGGUGUGAUGCCGCCGUCCUUCCCUCCAUGCCCUCGAUUACAGUGCUCCUCCCGAUGUUGUUCCAUUCCGGUGGCAAUAGAACCCAUCCCACUUUCUCCUCUGUGUGGCAGCUCCUGAACCCACAAAUUAGAAUUCUUAAAGCCUUUUAUAUAUGUAUGGAGAUAGCAUUUGUCUUGGAUUGACCUGACAUGAUGAGGUUACCUUCUUAAAAUCUUCAACAUUUUUAAUACUCAUUUGGCUUAAAAAAUAAUAUCAUUUUGUAGUUGAUCAAGACUCCCACUGUACUAUCUUCCCAUAAACAAUCACCAUUCUUUAAGUUUAUUUAUCCAUCUUUUUUAUUUUUGUACUUUUUAAUGGAUUAUGAGUCCACGUAUUGUAUGUAUAGAAUCUAUCAACAGUUUCUACCAACUACAGAUCACGGAGGCCCAUUACACCAUGCACUUGGUGGGCCACAGACCGGGCCCACUUUACCCACGCACAUACCAAGCGGCACGUGUGCUACUACCUUACUGAAACUGUUUUUUAUGUGUUGGGUUGUGGGGGAGGUUGAUAUUUUGAAGGAAAUAAAAGAUUCCUCGUAGGGGAUAUCGUGUUUGCCGUUCAUCGUGGCUCCAAAAAAUAAAUAAAAAGAAACAACAAAAUAAACAAAAUCCCGAAACCUAUGUAACGCCAAAUUAAUUUGUAGCGCAGCAUCACGAUAUAUAUCACCGAUAAAUAUAUAACGUGUUAUAUUGGUAAUGAGCAUUAUAUAAAUGAACAAAAAACGAGACCACGGAUUAGUAACAGAAUCCGAAAACAAAACAAAAAAAAUACGAUCAUGCCUAUAAAACCCCGCGUUUUGUGCACUACUAAACCCCCAUCCCUUCCCCCCCCCCGCCUCUUCUCGCGCCCCCUCUUCGCCUUCUCUCCUUCAAUUCCCUCCCUCCCAUUCGAUCUGCUCUUGCACCGAUGUCGAGCUCGCCGCCGGAGCGACGGGGAAGGGGAGGCGAGGAGGAGGGCGGGGAGGACGCCGCGGCCGCCCGAACACGCACCGGUGUUGGCCUCGGCCGCCGCCGCGCCGGGGAUCCCUCAUCGUCGCGGCUGAGGUCCGCCGACGCGGUCUGGCCGGAGCACUUCGUCGAGGCGGUUGCCGCCCAGGUCGCCGUCGACGCCGUGCGCUCCGCCGGGAGGUUGGCCGCCGCUCCUGCCGUCGUCUCCGUGUUCCAGGUUCUUUCUUCUCUUUCUUUAUACAUCUUAUUGCCGUAUCCCCCAACAGAAGAAUACAUCAGUUUCUCGAUCUGCUUCGUUUCUUACAUAGCCACGGUUUCACAUUAGUUAUCAUCAAGAUCAUGCAUCAGUGGGCUUUCUUCUAUGAUUUUGGAACAAUGAGACCACGGAUGCACCAUGAUAGUAAUCAUGACUGCAACAUGAAACGACAUUGGAAUGAUAGGUUGGGCAAUAGACCUGCUAUCCUACAAGGAGAGCAUUCGGUAGAAUGCCUCCACGUAUAGGUGUUCUUCGGAUUAGUCCUUCGUUUCGGUCAUUUCUCCUUUCUUCUGUGCGUAUUUUAUUCGUUUGGUUUAUAUUUAUUGUGUACAGUCACACCCCUGUGUGUGCUGCGGCAGUAAGAAGAAGACUCUUCUUCUUACUGCUACUCUCUUUUUUGACCAUUGUCUCCAUAGCCAGCUGCGCUUCGCCGGCGCUAGUGCCUCUCUCUCUCACCCCACAUUCGUAGGCAGCCGGAUGGCUGGCUUUUGCCGCACUGUUUGCUGUUAGCAGCGGACAUCCUUUGAGACUUUAAACACGAUUCUGCUGACCAUUCGCCUCUGUCAACUUCAUUAUUUCUCUCUUACUCUGCCUUCUCUCUUUCGUGCAACCUAUAUCUAUUCCUGACGGGGGGUCUGAGCAAAGAGCCAGUGGUGGGAGGAGGCGUGUGAUGCUCUGUUCUUUUGACCCUCGCUUCGCGCUGCGCCCGUUUUAACUCCCCUCGAUCCAUCCUUGUCGUUGCUUUAUUCACUCACUCACGUUCGGCUUAACUCUCUCUCUCUCUCUCUCUCGCUCUCGCUCUCGCUCUCUCUCCAUCUCUCUCGGAAAGGAACAAAAAGAGAGGGGCGAGCUCGGGGUUG